CCCUACGGGGGGCAGCAGUGGGGAAUAUUGCACAAUGGGGGAAACCCUGAUGCAGCGACGCCGCGUGAGUGAAGAAGUAAUUCGUUAUGUAAAGCUCUAUCAGCAGGGAAGAAAAUGACGGUACCUGAGUAAGAAUCCCCGGCUAACUACGUGACAGCAGCCGCGGUAAUACGUAGGGGGCAGGGGUUAUCCGGAUUUACUGGGUGUAAAGGGAGCGUAGACGGCAGUGCAAGUCUGGAGUGAAAGGCGGAGGCUCAAGCCCAGGC
rnacentral:rRNA from 1 species